AACGAACGCUGGCGGCAGGCUUAACACAUGCAAGUCGAACGCCCCGCAAGGGGAGUGGCAGACGGGUGAGUAACGCGUGGGAACGUACCCUUUACUACGGAAUAACUCAGGGAAACUUGUGCUAAUACCGUAUGUGCCCUUCGGGGGAAAGAUUUAUCGGUAAAGGAUCGGCCCGCGUUGGAUUAGCUAGUUGGUGGGGUAAAGGCCUACCAAGGCGACGAUCCAUAGCUGGUCUGAGAGGAUGAUCAGCCACAUUGGGACUGAGACACGGCCCAAACUCCUACGGGAGGCGGCAGUGGGGAAUAUUGGACAAUGGGCGCAAGCCUGAUCCAGCCAUGCCGCGUGAGUGAUGAAGGCCCUAGGGUUGUAAAGCUCUUUCACCGGUGAAGAUAAUGACGGUAACCGGAGAGGAAGCCCCGGCUAACUUCGUGCCAGCCGCCGCGGUAAGAC
rnacentral:rRNA from 1 species